UACGUAGGGGGCAAGCGUUGUCCGGAUUUAUUGGGCGUAAAGAGCGUGUAGGCGGUUUGGUAGGUCCGCUGUGAAAACUCGAGGCUCAACCUCGAGACGCCGGUGGAAACCAUCAGACUAGAGUCCGGAAGAGGAGAGUGGAAUUCCUGGUGUAGCGGUGAAAUGCGCAGAUAUCGGGAGGAACACCAGAGGCGAAGGCGGCGAACUGGACGAUAACUGACACUCAAUUGCGAAAGCGUGGGGAGCAAACAGG
rnacentral:rRNA from 1 species